rnacentral:rRNA from 1 species
AGUGAACGCUGGCGGUAGGCCUAACACAUGCAAGUCGAACGGCAGCACAGUAAGAGCUUGCUCUUACGGGUGGCGAGUGGCGGACGGGUGAGGAAUACAUCGGAAUCUACUUUUUCGUGGGGGAUAACGUAGGGAAACUUACGCUAAUACCGCAUACGACCUACGGGUGAAAGCAGGGGAUCUUCGGACCUUGCGCGAUUGAAUGAGCCGAUGUCGGAUUAGCUAGUUGGCGGGGUAAAGGCCCACCAAGGCGACGAUCCGUAGCUGGUCUGAGAGGAUGGAGCCGCCCCCUUGGACCGGGGCCCGGGCCCAACCUCCGCGGGGGGGCCGCGGUGGGGAUUUUUGACAAAUGGGCGCAAGCCUGUUCCAGCCAUCCCGCGGGGGUGAAGAAGGCCUUCGGGUUGUAAAGCCCUUUUGUUGGGAAAGAAAAGCAGCGGGUUAAUACCCCGCUGUUCUGGCGGUACCCAAAGAAUAAGCACCGCCUAAUUUCGU